GGAAGGAUGGGUGAGUCUGGCUGAAACCGCUCGACUCGAAAUCGAGUAGGCACUUAAUAGUGCCUCGAGGGUUCGAAUCCCUCUCCUUCCGCCA
rnacentral:tRNA from 1 species